UGAGUAACGCGUGGGAACGUACCUUUUGCUACGGAAUAACUCAGGGAAACUUGUGCUAAUACCGUAUGUGCCCUUCGGGGAAAGAUUUAUCGGCAAAGGAUCGGCCCGCGUUGGAUUAGCUAGUUGGUGAGGUAAAGGCUCACCAAGGCGACGAUCCAUAGCUGGUCUGAGAGGAUGAUCAGCCACACUGGGACUGAGACACGGCCCAGACUCCUACGGGAGGCAGCAGGC
rnacentral:rRNA from 1 species